rnacentral:rRNA from 1 species
GACGAACGCUGGCGGCGUGCUUAACACAUGCAAGUCGAACGGUAAGGCCCUUCGGGGUACACGAGUGGCGAACGGGUGAGUAACACGUGGGUGAUCUGCCCUGCACUUCGGGAUAAGCCUGGGAAACUGGGUCUAAUACCGGAUAGGACCACUGCCUGCAUGGGUGGUGGUGGAAAGCUUUUGCGGUGUGGGAUGGGCCCGCGGCCUAUCAGCUUGUUGGUGGGGUGAUGGCCUACCAAGGCGACGACGGGUAGCCGGCCUGUGAGGGUGACGGGCAACACUGGGACUGAGAUACGUCCCAGACUCCUUCGGGAGGCAGCAGUGGGGAAUAUUGCACAAUGGGGGCAAGCCUGAUGCAGCGACGCCGCGUGAGGGAUGACGGCCUUCGGGUUGUAAACCUCUUUCAGCACCGACGAAGCGCAAGUGACGGUAGGUGCAGAAGAAGGACCGGCCAACUACGUGCCAGCCGCCGCAGUAA